UUGACCCAAAGGCACAGUGUCUCUCAAGUCUGCCCUCUCCACAUGACACUAUCCUUCCAAGUUCUGCAAAUUGCUCUCUGCCCUUGCCUCUUUGCCAUAGAGAUGAAAACAGCUCAGCUGUAACUAACCCUGGAAGACUUCACAAUCCAUUUAUUGAGAAAAAUAUGUAUUAAGCUGAAGGAAAAAGUAACAGAAAUUGGAUGAGAUGGAGCCAGCUGGAGAUUUAUCGUGCCCUCAGGAUGCACAGUCCUAAUUAACAGAAGCAAAGACCUCAUGGAAGGAAAGAAAGAGUGCAUCAUCACCAGAGCGAAACUCCCAUACUGUCACAGUCCCAGCACGCCUCUUGGAUCUCCUGUGGAGCUUCCUCUUCAGGUGUGUGGAGGGGACCUUGGAGUUUCUGAGAGAGAAGCAUCAAAACAGACAAUAAAAAUCAAUUGUUAAUCUGGAAAAUGUUAUUCAUUUUCCAUAUGUGGUAGGAAUGACAGCUCAUAAACUCAGGUGUCCAAAUAAAAAAAAAUAUUGCAUCUCUUUA